AUUAGUUACAACACCUCUAAUACUGUAAGAAUAUAUAAAUAAUAAUAAUAUACAUAAAACGGAUAUUACUUUCCUUUUUAUUGAUAUUAGAUCAAAUUCAUAUUAAUCACAUUUUGUAAAUAAGGUAUUUCUGUUUUUUAUUUUUUAAUACAUUUGAUUUUUUUUUCUAAAAACACUUCAUUUUGGGGUAUUGUGGGUAGAUUGAAGAGGAAAAUAAUUUCAUACAUUUUAGACUGGGUUGUAAAAACAAAAUGGUGGGAAAAGUCAUGGGGUCUGAAUACUUUCUGAGUGUCUCCUUAUCUAUUACAUCACAGUGAAGUUGUCUAUUUUUUGGGCACUGGUUUUCAUUAAAUCAAUCAAUCAAUUUCAUAGUGUUGAUGUCUUCACUAUUAUUCUACAAUGUAGAAAAUAGUAAAAAUAAAGAAAAACCCUUGAAUGAGUAGAUGUGUCCAAUCAAUCAAUCAAUGAGUCUAACAAAAUCGCACAAAGGACAUUUUCUACCACUCAAUAAUCUGAAUUAAAUAAAUCUACUACAUUGAUUUAUAGUAUCAAUACAAUAAAAGGUAUGACAGAGUAGGAAGCUGCUAUGUCAACUCUUUGAAUACAUGAAAAAACAUUUUGGCACCUAUCAGUUAUCAAAAAGCAUUUGCUUUAUAGUAUUCAGUGACUUUAUCCAUAUUUUGUUACAGCCUUAUUCUAUAAUGGAUUAAAACAACAAAAAAUCCCCAUCAAUCUACACAUAAUACCUCAUAAUGACAAAGCAAAAACAAAGUAUUCAGACAUCCUGUUUCCAUUGAUCAUCCUUGAGAUGUUUCUACAACGUGAUUAGAGUCCACCCACGUUGGUAAAUUCAAUUGAUUGGACAUGAUUUGGAAAGGCACACACUUGUCUAUAUAAAAGGUCCCACAGUUGUCAGUGCAUGUCAGAGAAAAAAAAAAUCAAGCCAUGAGGUCAAAGGAAUUGUCCGUAGAGCUCAGAGACAGGAUUGUGUCGUGGCACAGAUCUGGGGAAGGGUACCAAAACAUUUCUGCAGCAUUGAAGGUCCCCAAGGACACAGUGGCCUCCAUCAUUAUUAAAUGGAGAAGUUUGGAACCACUAAGACUCUUCCUAAACUGAGCAAUCAGGGGACAAGGGCCUUGGUCAGGAAGGCGACAAAGAACCAGACGGUCAAUCUGACAGAGCUCUAGAGUUCCUCUGUGGAGAUGGGAGAACCUUCAAGAAGGACAACCAUCUCUGCAGCACUCUCCCGAUCAGGCCUUUAUGGUAGUGGCCAGACGGAAGCCACGCCUAAGUAAAAGGCACACGACAGCCCGUUUAGAGUUUGCCAAAGGCACCUAAAGGACUCUCAGACCAUGAGAAACAAGAUUCUCUGGUCUGAUGAAACCAAGAAUGAACUCCUUGGCCUGAAGUGUCACGUCUGGAGGAAACCUGGCACCAUCCCUACGGUGAAGCAUGGUUGUGUCAGCAUCAUGCUGUGGGGAUGUUUUUCAGCAGAAGGGACUGGGAGACUAGUGACGGUCAAGGGAAAGAUGAACGGAGCCAAGUACAGAGAAAUCUUUGAUGAAAACCUGCUCCAGAGCGUUCAGGUCCUCAGACUAGGGCGAAGGUUCACCUUCCAACAGGACAAGUCUCUGAAUGUCCUUUAGUGGCCCAGCAAGAGCCUGGACUUGAACCCGAUCGAACAUCUCUGGAGAGACCUGAAAAUAGCUGUGCAGCAACACUCCCCAUCCAACCUGACAGAGCUUGAGAGGAUCUGCAGAGAAGAAUGAGAGAAACGCCUCAAAUACAGGUGUGCCAAGCUUGAAUUUAUAAAUAUAUGUUUAACCUUUAUUUAACUAGGCAAGUCAUACCCAAGAAGACGUGAGGUUGUAAUCGCUGCCAAAAGGUGCUUCAACAAAGUACUGAGGGGUCUGAAUACUACUGAGUAAAGGGUCUGAAUACUUACAUCAGGCCUUUAUGGUAGUUUAGAGUUUGCCAAAGGCACCCAAAGUACUGAGGGGUCUGAAUACUUACGGAAAUGUUUUCAUUUGUUGCUUUUUUAUACAUUUGCAAACAUUUCAGAAAAACUGUUUUUUGCUUUGUCAAUAUGAUGUCAAUAUGUGAUAUUGUGAUGUCAAUAUGGGAUAUUGUGAUGUCAUUAUGGGGUAUUGUGAUGUCAAUAUGGGAUAUUGUGAUGUCAUUAUGGGGUAUUGUGAUGUCAAUAUGGGAUAUUGUGAUGUCAAUAUGGGAUAUUGUGAUGUCAAUAUGGGAUAUUGUGAUGUCAAUAUGGGGUAUUGUGAUGUCAUUAUGGGGUAUUGUGAUGUCAAUAUGGGGUAUUGUGAUGUCAAUAUGGGAUAUUGGGUCUAGAUUGAUGAGGAAAAAAAGCUAUUUAAUCCAUUUUAGAAGAAGGCUGUAACGUAACAAAAAAUGUGGAAAAGUCCAGGGGUCUGAAUACUUUCCGAAGGCUCUGUAAAUAAAGAGUGCAAAAAACAUACAUGUCCUACACAGCACUUCAUCGCACUGCUCCCCCUUCAUCACGAUUCAGUUCAUUUAGCGCAAAAUGGCCUCUCAGACCGCACAACUCAAUAGUCAACUAUCAACACAGAAAGUUAAGAAUUACACAUAUUAUUCAGAAUCGCUCCUAAAUUAAGAAUCCCUCCUAGUCCUUAAAACCUAUUGCACUUCACACAUCACAGUCCUUAAAACAUAUAGCAAUUUUCACCAGCGAAUGGUUAUGACAUCACCAACUAAUGGGCAGGGCUUGACAUUCAGGCCUGCGAGCUGGCAACUUCUGCCGAGCUCACCGGGCCAAUUAAAUCAAGCUUUCACAUGACCCAUUUGGCCCAGUACAUUUCCAAACUACAAAACAGAAAAUAAUGAUUUAUAUUUGGAUUUAAUCCUUGACAAUCUUCCUGACGUCUGACGAUUCACACUUGUUAUCAACUAGCAUUUGGUUUCCAAGCUGAGGCAAAGCCUGAAAUUCCAUCUGGAGUAAGCCCCGUCACAGUAUGGCCUAGAUACUCGCGUCAGACCCUUCUCAGCGGAGGCAGAAUAAAAAAAAAGUCCUCCCCUGGAUCGUCAGUAUUAUUUCAUAUCAUUAUUAGCAAGGAAAGGUUUACCUAGAACUAGGCCUACACUGUGUAGCUGCUUGCUUAUCAAGACAUCCAUUCUUUACACAAAUCACUUGUAAUAUCACAAAAUAAUAUUGUAAUAAUACUAUUCUGUAACACACACAAGUUUGGGGUCACUUAGAAAUGUCCUUGUUUAUGAAAAAAAAGCACAUUUUUUUGCCCAUUUAAAGUAUCAAAUUGAUCAGUGUAGACAUUGUUUAAAAAAAACUCAAGGAUCCGACAUACCCAAAUCUAACUGCCUGUACCUCAGGACCUGACGCAAGGAAACUCGUCAGUCUAUUCUUGUUCUGAGUUUUUCUGGCUAUUUCAUGUGAGAAAUUCCCAAGAAACUGAAGAUCUUGUACAACGUUGUGUACUACUCCCUUCACAGAACAGCGCAAACUGGCUCUAACCAGAAUAGAAAGAGUGGGAGGUCCCGGUGCACAACUGAGCAAGAGGACAAGUACAUUAGAGUGUCUAGUUUGAGAAACAGAUGCCUCACGAGUCCUCAACUUACAGGUUCAUUAAAUAAUACCCGCAAAACACCCGUCUCAACGUCAACAGUGAAGAGGCGACUCCGGGAGUUGCAAAGAAAAGCCAUAUCUCAGACUGGCCAAUAAAAAGAAAGAUGGGCAAAAGAACAGAGACACUGGACAGAGGAACUCUGCCUAGAAGGCCGUUUCCAGCUACAAUAGUCAUGUCUACACUGUAUUUCUGAUCAAUUUGAUGUCAUUUAAAAAAGGUACAAAAAAAAUGUGCUUUUCUUUAAAAAACAAAAUACAUUUCUAUGUGACCCCAAACUUUUGAACGGUAGUGUGUAUGUAUGUAUAUAUAUAUAUCUCACACACACACACACACACACACACACACACACACACACACACACACACACACACACACAAAUAAUUGUUUAAAAAAACAGAUUUACAUUCCAGAUGAGCUAUGUGGUUUAUUUAUGAGCUGAAUAUCAACUGUCAGAUGGUGAGAGCUCUCAACUCCUCAGCUGGGUGGAAAGAAGUGUGUUCUAAUAAGCCCAGUCACUGGGCAACAUUCCUAAAUGCUGUGUUCCAAUAAACCCAGUCACUGGGAAACAUUCCUAAAUUAUGUGUUCACAAGAUUUUACUAUGCUAGUGGGAGUUUUUUCAUACCUUAAACAAGCAACAAGAUCAUAUUUAGAGUCUGAUAUAGCUAAUGAUUCACCCAUUGGGGUAAACAAUGCAGAGGAUAAAUCCCAUGCUUCAGCCAUGUAGCCACCAUGCUGUAUCAGACAGGAGACCAUGUAGUCACCAUGUAGUCACCAUGUAGUCACCAUGCUGUAUCAGACAGGAGGCCAUGUAGUCACCAUGCUGUAUUAGACAGGAGACCAUGUAGUCACCAUGUAGUCACCAUGCAGCAUCAGACAGGGGACCAUGUAGUCACCAUGUAGUUACCAUGCUGCAUCAGACAGGAGACCAUGUAGUCACCAUGCUGCAUCAGACAGGAGACCAUGUAGUCACCAUGCUGCAUCAGACAGGAGACCAUGUAGUCACCAUGUAGUCACCAUGCUGCAUCAGACAGGAGACCAUGUAGUCACCAUGUAGUCACCAUGCUGUAUUAGACAGGAGACCAUGUAGUCACCAUGUAGUCACCAUGCUGCAUCAGACAGGAGACCAUGUAGUCACCAUGCUGCAUCAGACAGGAGACCAUGUAGUCACCAUGUAGUCACCAUGUAAUCACCAUGCUGUAUCAGACAGGAGACCAUGUAGUCACCAUGCUGCAUCAGACAGGAGACCAUGUAGUCACCAUGCUGCAUCAGACAGGAGACCAUGUAGUCACCAUGUAGCCACCAUGCUGCAUGAGACAGGAGACCAUGUAGUCACCAUGCUGUAUCAGACAGGAGACCAUGUAGUCACCAUGCUGAAUCAGACAG
ensembl:lncRNA